rnacentral:rRNA from 1 species
GACGAACGCUGGCGGCGUGCCUAAUACAUGCAAGUCGAACGCAGUGGGGACGGGUGAGUAACAAGUGGGUAACCUCCCAUCAGAGGGGAUAACACUUGGAAACAGCUGCUAAACCGAUACUGAUGGAUGAACCCGCGGUGCAUUAGCUAGUUGGAGAGGUAACGGCUCACCAAGGCCACGAUGCAUAGCCGACCGUAGUGGGUAAGCGGCCACCCUGUGCCUGAGACACUGCCCAGACUCCUGCGGGAUGCAGCAGUAGGGAAUUUGCGGCAAUGGACGAAAGUCAAACCACGCAACGCCGCGUGAGUGAAGAAGGUUUUCGGGACGUAGAUCUCUGUUGUUAGAGAUGCGGUAUCUAACCAGAAAGCCCCGGCUAUCUACGUGCCUGCAGCCGCGGUAAUAC